AUUGAACGCUGGCGGCAGGCCUAACACAUGCAAGUCGAACGAGUGGCGGACGGGUGAGUAAUGUCUGGGAAACUGCCUGAUGGAGGGGGAUAACUACUGGAAACGGUAGCUAAUACCGCAUACCAUCGGAUGUACCCAUGUGGGAUUAGCUAGUAGGUGGGGUAAAGGCUCACCUAGGCGACAAUCACUAGCUGGUCUGAGAGGAUGACCAGCCACACUGGGACUGAGACACGGUCCAGACGCCUACGGGAGGCAGCAGUGGGGAAUAUUGCACAAUGGGCGCAAGCCUGAUGCAGCCAUGCCGCGUGUAUGAAGAAGGCCUUAGGGUUGUAAAGUACUUUCAGCGGGGAGGCGUUACCCGCAGAAGAAGCACCGGCUAACUCCGUGCCAGCAGCCGCGGUAAUUC
rnacentral:rRNA from 1 species